AAGAAAUUAGUUAAAUAAUAACAUUAAAAUGUCAAUUUAAAAUUACCAUAAGGUAUUUCUUG
rnacentral:tRNA from 2 species